AACUCUACAAUGCAGGCAACUGCGAUAGGGGAACAUCGAGUGGCGUCCAUAUUGGAUGUCUGUCCACCCGCCUAAAAAGCGGGUGUUAGCAAGGGCCGGGCAAGACCGGUGCCAGCCGCCGCGGUAAUACCGGCGGCUCGAGUGGUGGCCGAUAUUAUUGAGUCUAAAGGGUCCGUAGCCGGCUUUGCAAGUCUCUCGGGAAAUCCAGCGGCUUAACCGUUGGGCUGUCGGGGGGUACUACAUUGCUUGGGACUGGGAGAGGUAGGAGGUACUCAGGGGGUAGGAGUGAAAUCCUGUAAUCCUUUGGGGACCACCGGUGGCGAAGGCGUCCUACCAGAACAGGUCCGACGGUGAGGGACGAAAGCUAGGGGCACGAACCGGAUUAGAUACCCGGGUAGUCCUAGCCGUAAACGAUGCUCGCUAGGUGUCACAACAGUCGUGAACUGUUGUGGUGCCGUAGGGAAGCCGUGAAGCGAGCCACUUGGGAAGUACGACCGCAAGGUUGAAACUUAA
rnacentral:rRNA from 1 species